rnacentral:rRNA from 1 species
CAAAAACAUCUCUCCUAGAGUUGUUGGAUUAGGAGUAGUCCCUGCCCUGUGAUUAGUUUUUAACGGCGGCGUUAAGUUUUGAAGUAGCGAAAUAAUUCGUCCUUUAAUUGGGGACCAGUAUGAAUGGGUUGACGUGGGCCAUCUGUCUCUGGGGGAUUACCAUAAAUUUGCUUCUCAGUGAAAAGUCUGAGAUUUUUUUAAGGGACGAGAAGACCCCGACGAGCUUAAUCAGCUUGCUUAAGGUUAGGUGUUAGUGAAGGUUUAUUGGGGCAAUAGGGGAGAAGGGAACCUCCUCUUUAUACAUCAAAGAUCCCCAUCUAGGGAUAAAAGGUAAAAGCUACCGCGGGGAUAACAGCGCAAGGCAACCUGAUAGUGCAUAUUGAAGGUUGAGUUUGCGACCUCGAUGUUGGAUUAGGGUUUACUAUCAGGCGGAGAGGCUUGGUUAAGUGGGACUGUUCGUCCCUUAAAUCCCUACAUGAUCUGAGU